UGGGGAAUUUUGGACAAUGGGCGAAAGCCUGAUCCAGCAAUGCCGCGUGUGUGAAGAAGGCCUUCGGGUUGUAAAGCACUUUUGUCCGGAAAGAAAUCCUUGGCUCUAAUACAGUCGGGGGAUGACGGUACCGGAAGAAUAAGCACCGGCUAACUACGUGCCAGCAGCCGCGGUAAUACGUAGGGUGCAAGCGUUAAUCGGAAUUACUGGGCGUAAAGCGUGCGCAGGCGGUUUGCUAAGACCGAUGUGAAAUCCCCGGGCUCAACCUGGGAACUGCAUUGGUGACUGGCAGGCUAGAGUAUGGCAGAGGGGGGUAGAAUUCCACGUGUAGCAGUGAAAAUGCGUAGAGAUGUGGAGGAAUACCGAUGGCGAAGGCAGCCCCCUGGGCCAAUACUGACGCUCAUGCACGAAAGCGUGGGGAGCAAAACAGGAUUAGAUACCCUGGUAGUCCGCGCCCUAAAACGAUGUCAACUAGUUGUUGGGGAUUCAUUUCCUUAGUAACGUAGCUAACGCGUGAAGUUGACCGCCUGGGGAGUACGGUCGCAAGAUUAAAAACUUAAAGGAAUUGACGGGGUCAUAGCUGUUUCCU
rnacentral:rRNA from 1 species